rnacentral:rRNA from 1 species
UGGGGAAUAUUGGACAAUGGGCGCAAGCCUGAUCCAGCAAUGCCGCGUGAGUGAUGAAGGCCUUAGGGUUGUAAAGCUCUUUCGCACGCGACGAUGAUGACGGUAGCGUGAGAAGAAGCCCCGGCUAACUUCGUGCCAGCAGCCGCGGUAAUACGAAGGGGGCUAGCGUUGUUCGGAAUUACUGGGCGUAAAGGGCGCGUAGGCGGCCUGUUUAGUCAGAAGUGAAAGCCCCGGGCUCAACCUGGGAAUAGCUUUUGAUACUGGCAGGCUUGAGUUCCGGAGAGGAUGGUGGAAUUCCCAGUGUAGAGGUGAAAUUCGUAGAUAUUGGGAAGAACACCGGUGGCGAAGGCGGCCAUCUGGACGGACACUGACGCUGAGGCGCGAAAGCGUGGGGGGCAAACAGGAUUAGAUACCCUGGUAGUCCACGCCGUAAACGAUGAAUGCUAGACGUCGGGGUGCAUGCACUUCGGUGUCGCCGCUAACGCAUUAAGCAUUCCGCCUGGGGAGUACGGCCGCAAGGUUAAAACUUAAAUGAAUUGACGGGGUCAUAGCUGUUUCCU